rnacentral:tRNA from 1 species
GGGGACGUAGUUCAAUUGGUAGAGCGCAUGUUUUGCAAGCAUGAAGCUGUCAGUUCAACUCCAAUCAUUUCCA